ACGAUAGUUGGCACGUCAAAGUAUGCAUCGAGCUGUGCUAUAUAAGGUUAGCUCUUGUUAUCUAAAAGGUAUGCGAAUUUAGCUCAAAAAAGCAUAGACUCUCUCUCUAUAGAUAGAUAGAUAGAUAGAUAGAUAGAUAUAGAUAUAUUGAUUCUCCAGUCAUCUAACUUGACUGCCGAAAGUUGUUCCCGAAAAUAAUUCUGACAGUCGAAAUCACUAUUCAUGUGUCACAGCUUGGCCACCGCUUACAGCGAUUAUCUGCGGCCACCUUCAACCACCACAGGUUCUUCGCAUGUGUCUAUUCUUGAUUUUCCUUUCUUUCCUUACUCAAACUCACACCUUACACCAUUAUAUAUGUAUGAUGUGCUGUGAUAAUUAUUGGAAUGAUAUAUAUGCAUUUGAGAGUACUUUGAGUACAUUCUAACGUACAGUUGAAUUUGAAAACAUGUGUAUAUAUGCUACUCAUACACUUUGUUUUGGUUUCUUACAUUCAAAAUUCAACUUACAUUUUUUGUUACUAGAAGAAAUUUUAAAAUGUAAAAGAUUUUGAUCUAAUUUUUAAAAAAAAUAUUAAAAGCAAAAUAAUCAUAUUUUUACUCGACAAACAAGCUAUUUUUAUAGUGUUUAGUGAAUGUUUUCUUAUAAUUUUUUUUAAAUUUUUAAAUUUUUUGAUUAUUCUCAUCAAGAUGAAUUGAAAAACUCGGGGAUGGAUGUGAAGAUUCUAUUUUUGGAAGUGCAGAAGCUAGGGUUAAGCACGGGUCGGGUAUUGUUGAUUUUGGCCAAAACCGUCAACCGACCCGACUAGAUCAGUUUAUAAAAUUUCUCAACUGAAAUUGACCGACCAAACUACGAAACCCGAAAAAGUUCGUUUUGACGGGUUUGUUGUCGGGUUCAUCCAGGGUUCAAUUUUUGAUUCACACAUUUUAUUGCAAUUUAUCGGCCAAAUUCUCCCGUAUUUUAGCAUUAUUGCAUGCAUUAUCUAUUCAAGUUAAAUAUUAUUUGGCACAAGUGUUUUAAAUAGUUUUUGCAAGACAAAUUGAGCAUAAAGAAGAUCUGACGAGAGCAUGAUAUAAGAAAAGAUGACUUGAAGCAAAAGAGUUGAGGAUUCUCAAAUCUCAACCGGUUGAACCUGAAGUUUCAAUUGGUUCACCAGAAGUAGAAACACCUGACCUUAAAGUUUCAACAGGUUAAAAAAUUAUCUCAACCAAUUGAACAACAUCAGUGCAUUUUGUGAAGCAUGCAUUCUCCUUAUUAUAUUGGUCAUAUCAAACCCACUCCUUUGAAGUCAAUGUAAGAGUUAGCUUAUUGGUUUAAGAAAAAAAGAGUUUGUGGGCCAAGUUAGAGAUAGUUUUUGGAUAAAGUUAGAGAUAACUUGUUAGUACAAGCAAAUUUUUGGAAGCUUUAUGAGCUUUCUUGGCCUUUAAAAGGUUCUCUUAACUUCUUAGAAAUGAAGCUUUUUCUCUCCUUAGUUUUAGAACUUACAUUUUCAUUAUUUUCUUAGCUUAGAAGUAGUUUUUAGUCUAUAGUUAGGGAGAGAGUGGAGAGGAAGGAACAUAGAUCUUGUCCUCAUUUCAAGACUUGGAAUUUCUUGAAACUUCUCUAUUAAAUGGUUGUAAGUUUAUUUGUUUUAAGUUUUUAAAUUUUAUUUAUGCUAUUAAAUCUCCAUUUCUUUCUUAAGUUCAUGUUAGUUUCUAGACAUAAAAUAUAUUUUUAUUGAAAAAUCUUCCAACCAAUAUUAUAUUGUCUUGAGAUUUAGUUGAGUUCAUGAAAAAAAAAAAAAUAGAACAUCUAAGCAAGGAGAAGACUACGAUACUUCUAAGUAUUAGGCUACUCUGUUAGUUUUCUAUGCUUGGGAAUUAAAAUAGGUAGAUAAAAUAAAUAUCAGAAGGUGACAAACAGUUUCCAAUCACCAACACCAUCCACCUUUUUCUUUGGUUUGUUUUUCCUUGGUCUUGGAGGCUUGUACUGCUGCAGACUGAAUUUUGGCCUAGGCUUUCAGACUCGCCAUGGUCGGAAGAUUGAAUGUCAAUAAUAGAUCUAGGUUUCUGACCAAGCUUCAUCAAGGGAUUCACUUUCACUUGACUGGUGUGAGAGAGAGAGAGGGACGGCGAUUAGAAAGAAGAAAUUGGGAAAUUUUUGAAGUUCCUCUGCCCAAAAUUUAUCAAGGUUUUCACUUCCACUCGACUCUUUUGAGAGAGAAGAAAUUGGGAAAGUUUUGAAGUUUCUCUCACCCCAAGAUGAUAAGGCUCUGGAAAUUGUAAGAAGCAGGUUUCUAAGGUGGUAAUUAUCCAAUGCUUUGCGGCAAGACACACCCUUCCCAAUAAAUUUUUGGUCGGUUCGGUUUCAACAAAACGUAAAAUCUCAACUGAACACCGACUAAUCAACCGAAAUUUCUUCACAUCCCAAACCGAAAAUGACCAAUUAUUGAUAUUUUUGGGAUCGAGUCAGGUUGAUUUUGACAAUUUUUUGCUCAGCCAUAGUAGAAGCAUAUUUGGUCCUA
rnacentral:lncRNA from 1 species